rnacentral:lncRNA from 1 species
AACUUAAAAAAGAGAAAAUAGACCCUGACCUAUGGUUUUUCAGUCACUAGUAGAGAGAGCUAGGCAAUGAGAGUGAUAAAGAGAAAGUGAGGAACGCUGCCCUCCUCAUUCACCUUCUCUCAUACUCCCAUAUGGUGCAUGCUUGGAGCCCUUCUCCCGGAGUUUAAGGAGGCUUUCAUGCUGUUCUAUGUCCCUUUUCUUGCCUUUUCUAAGAUUUGAUGGCAAGAUAAUCUCGUCUUUGAAGCCUAAAUUAUUGAAGCUCCAUUCCUUUUUCAUGCCCCAUUAGGUACUUGACAUUGUGGCCUAUUCAUAGUUUCCUUUAUGUUCCUUUCCUAUAGUUUUCCUGUGUUGUGUCUGGAAUUUCCUGUAAUCUUUACCCACAUAUCAGCAAGAUACUUAGCCUCUUCCUCGUACAAAAAGCAUGAAUUUUCAAGGGGAUACUGUGCCAAAUUUUCUUCUUCCAUCCUAUUGAAAAAUUAUUUGCUCCAUAUCACUUUAUUUGGGCUCCAUAUCUUAACCUUGUGUGGUAUAUCUUUGAUGCUAUAGGAUGACUUUUGUGAUAUUUUGAGCUUAGCCUCCAUGUUUUAUGUUUUCUUUUAAAUUGGAUUGAAAUUAGACCACUUAUAUCUUGCUAUCAUGUUGAGCAAUCGAAGGGGUUUUGACUAAGACCUUGAUCGUAAAAAUUGGUUUAUGAAAUUGGCUUCCCAUGAUCUAGAAGCUAUGUGCAAAAUUUGGUGGUGAUUAUAUAAUUGAGAUUGGCCUAAUUUAGUGUCUUUAAUUGCUAGUCUAAUUUAUACAAUUGAAGUGUUUGAGUGGGGAGCUGUUCCGAUGUAAUUAUUUUAUAUAAUGUUCAAGUGUGGCUAAUUUUUAAGUUGGAUUUUAAGCGGAACUAGUAAGGGACCACUCUUGAGACUUUCAAAACGAAAAUUUGGGAGUUUUUAAUUGAGUAUUUGUAAGUCGAAAGUUGCUUGUUUCCUGCUGCAAUUUUAGUCUCAAAGUUGUAAUUUAAGUAUUUCGUUGAAAAUUUUUAAUUUGCAGCACUUUGAGCAAAGACUCUUGACAUCUAAUAUCUCCUGUAUUGGGAAAGAUCAACCAUAGAUUGAGAGGAUGUUACCCUGCCUACAACACGAAGUGUCACAAACCCCUUAACUCCUCUCUAAAAUGUAUCCAUGAUUCAAGGUAGCAACCCAAAGAUAUAUGUAUACGAAUGAAAAGCUCUGUUAGCAAGAAGUAACAUACCCAAAAAUCAGCAUAUUUCAACAUGGGAUUCAGGAAAAAUGACCAAAACAAAAUGGAGACUUUGUGUGCUGUUUUUGCUGAAUUUUAGGGCAUGGUUAACAGUACUCGACUUAGCAACUUAGCAUAUGAAAAACAAGAUGCAAUGAAGUUCUUUUAGUAAAUGGUACCGGAUUUGGCCACAAAUUUUGAAGUUAAGACUUUUUAGGACUUUAUUGUCAUCUGUCAAGGUUGGAGCUCCUACCGGUGCCGAUUUCUAGGGUUUUCUUUGUAAUUCCAGGCUACUUAGGCUUGUAUUCAUGAUACUAAGAUUGCCUCCAGUAUUUCUUGGCCUCAAGGGGUCCCUAGCUUAGUUUUUCAUUCAAUUUUGGGCACAUAGGCAUCCAUAGGGUUAUUAGUCGACUGAUCGUCCGUUUGGGGUCGCAACCCAAUCCUAAAGUUCAUAGCCCAUGAGAUCCUUUAUCAUCCAAAGUAAGGAUCAUUUAAAAUUGAUUGGAAUUGUAAUCAUUUGGGGGCUUUUUUGUGAAUUUCUAACUUUCCUACAAGUCUUUUAGCAUAUAAAUUACUGAAUUCCUUUCGAAGCGGACAACCUUGUACUGUUCUUGUUGGUGAGCCAUCCUUUGCUCAAACCGCC